CCGCCUUCCAUCAUAGAGCGACCUCUCCCGAAGCUUCUCCCGCUUAUCAUUGCUAAUCAGUUCAUCCGCGCAGGUAGAUCGGUGAAAAAAAUGUUAAAACUUACGACGCAAUAGUAAAGACAGGGGCCAAAAGUAAAUUGUAAUAAAUUAAGAGUAUAGUGAAAAGUGUUACUUAGUUAGCCCCCUAACCUAGCCCCGGCCCCUGUCACGGUUUUUUACAUAUCGAAUAUUAGUGCGUAGUUUCGUUUUAUAUGGCAAAAACAAUGAUUCUUCAAUUGAGAAGGGUUUUUGUUGUAUGUUGUCCACUAAUUCACCGUUGGCAUCGAUCUGCAGCCACAACUAAUGUAAAGGGGUUUAACUAUGGUAAAAGUGGCUACAUUUAAACAAAACGAGCAGCGAAGCGUGGCGCCAUCAAUGGAUCAACGUCAGUUUUCAGUACUUCAAGCUAAGACAACAACCGCAGCCUAGAAAACACACCACACAUAGCUGUGUAAAACUGUGUAAAAUUUGCAGUGGAACAUCAUAAUUCUUGAUCCAGAACUCAAUUUUUACUCUAUG